rnacentral:lncRNA from 1 species
CUUUGCAGUAUUUUGUUUAACCCUCACAACAAUUUUUGGGGGGUGAGAAUUAUCCUUCCUAUUUUGUAGAUGAGGGAACUGGCUCAAAAAUGGCAAGCAACUUGCCUUAGGUUUACAGCCAAGCAAGCUGGGAAACAUUCCAGCAGUGAGAGUGGAGACAGAGCAGAGACCAGGGCUAGGGAUGGAAGUGACCUCCCGGGAGUCCCACCAGUGACGGGAUGGGGCAAGAGCAACCCAGAGACCUCCAGGAUGUGAGGGGACAUCAGAGUGAGGAUAGGACAAG